CAACAUCUUCCUUCUUAUCAUCAUCAUCAUCAUCAUCAUCAUCAUCAACUCAAUCAGCUUUCACUGUGAUCUUGGUGUCUGUAAUUCUGCUGCUGUUUCCGAUUGGAAUCAUAUUCCUCACUUUCACUCUUCAAAAGAGACGCAGGAUGCACGAUUCUGUUGCCCAGAAUUCUGUCCAAAACUCAGGAAGUGGCCAAUGGGUUCCUCUUGCUGUCUCUAAUGAUGAGGAGAUUAAAGACACCAAACGACAUUCUACUGAAGCUGGAACCUCCACAGUUUACUCAACUGCUUAAAUACCCAUAAUCCCCUCUGCGCCUUCUCAGACUGUUUAUGUAGAGAUAGAGGUUCCUACAAUCUCCUGUGAUUCUGCAGCUUAUACUACUGCUCAUCUACCCACAAUCCCCUCUGAUCAGGAAAGCUACUUGACAACUCAAUUACCCACAAGCCUCUCUGCUGAGAAAUCGGUUGAAGAUUUGACUUACGCAACAGUGAGUUCUCACUCUAAUGCCACCAGCUCUAAUAAUGCAGUUCCACAGAUUAAGGAAGACGCCUCUACUGUCUACUCUUCAAUCAGUCACGUGACUACAAUUGUUUAGUUCUGCAUCAUUGGGGUUUCAGUCAUGUGGCAGUUGAACUUUACUAUUUAAUUUAGAUUACAUUUUUCUUUCUUUUUCCUCCUCUGUCCCUCCCUCAAAACAAGAUGGCGCCUCGUAACAAGAUGGCGCCGGUGAGGUCGGCUGCUGUCACGACUGCUCCGGCUACGGUUUUUCUUUUUUUGUUUAUUUUAUACUUUUAUUUAACUAGUUUUAGUUCCAUCUACACAAGAU